GCCUGGAUUCCAUCCCCUCUGGACCACCCUGGCUUCUAGAAGGAGGCCUGGGCCCGAUGGUAAGCUUGGGCUUGACCAUCCCCGCGGGCCACAGGGCACAGCCUCCAGUAUUGCUGUGGCCCAGACAUCCCAACCCAGGCUGCCCACUGCACCCCUCUCUUGCCUCUGGCUGAUGGGUCCCGCUGACCAGGCCGGGCCCUUGAUAUCCCCUUCCCCCUGGGAUCAGGCCACCCAGGGCCUUCAUGCUGCCCCCAGAGCACUCUUCCUUGAAGCUUUAGCUAGGUUCCUUCCCCCGGGGCUCUGCUCCCUUUCGCUGUGGGACCACCCCCUGGAAAGGAGACCUUGUAGGGAGAAAAGCUGUGAGCCCCCAGCGGUUAAAGCCCCCCUCUGCCGAGGAGCUCUCCUCAGUGCUGGGGGCUUUAGGUUCAUUGGCUGAUGGAGUCCUCACCACCCUGCCCCAGCUGACAGACGAGGGGACAAGGCUCAGACCAGUGAAGCGUCUUGCUCCAGGUCACACAGUCUGCUUUCUCCAACAUUCCAGACCUCGUCCCUUUGUCUUGCUGGCCGAGUCGGGGUUGGGUCUCUGAGAGGCCACAGUGUCACAGCAGACCUGUAGCAGCACCACACACGACAAGAAAUGGAAACCGCCUCUCCCGCCCCCAAGGGCCCCACUCACCGCAUCGGCCUCUCUCCCCCAAAGGUCAUCACUGCCACUUCUUUUUCUUUACCUUUGACUUGUGC
rnacentral:lncRNA from 1 species